AUUGAACGCUAGCGGCAUGCCUUACACAUGCAAGUCGAACGGAGUGGCGAACGGGUGAGUAAUGUAUCGGAAGGUGCCCAGUAGCGGGGGAUAACUACGCGAAAGCGUAGCUAAUACCGCAUACUUUUGGAGCGGCUGCUGUCGGAUUAGCUAGUUGGGGGGGUAACGGCUCACCAAGGCGACGAUGCGUAGCUGGUUUGAGAGGACGACCAGCCACACUGGGACUGAGACACGGCCCAGACUCCUACGGGAGGCAGCAGUGGGGAAUUUUGGACAAUGGGCGAAACCCUGAUCCAGCCAUCCCGCGUGUGUGAUGAAGGCCUUCGGGUUGUAAAGCACUGUUGGCAGGAAAGCGGUACCUGCAGAAUAAGCACCGGCUAACUACGUGCCAGCAGCCGCGGUAAUAC
rnacentral:rRNA from 1 species